UCGCCUUCUUCCUCCGUUCGUCCUGCUGUCCUCCGACACUGCUCGGUCGACGAGACUCUUGCGUGCGUCUUUUCGUCUCGUCCUCCUUAAGUGGCAACCUCCAUCGGUCUGCCACCGUUGCCGCCAUCGGUUAUCCCUCUAACCUCAUCGUCAUCUCCCCCCCCCCCCCCCUAAAUCGGACCCAUACAAGUCAACCUUGGCUUUCGCUCGAUCAACAAACACCGCAACCACGUUGUGCCCAUUUUAGGUAUCUCUUUUCUUUUAACAAAGGAUCAUGACGAGUCUGGUUUUUAAUUAACAAAGCCAUCAACCGGUCAGAAAUUACGACACACGUCCAUAUUACAACAAUCAAACUAGUACAAUAGGGCACGCUGAAAGGCAAACCCGAACACCAACCUUCAAAAGCAUCUAAAAAAUGAAAAUGAAGAUUACAAUUGCUAGAAACCGAGCACUCCACACUAGGAUCAUCAGGAUAAGGGACGAAGAAGUAGAGUAGGCCAUUGCCACCAUUGAAAUGAAACUUGCUCUAGAAACACCUAUGAGCCGAGGGGACAACUUAAUCUUCCUUCUAUGUCAUCGAAGAGGGACCCUACCCCCUCGCCAUGGUUUGUAGGCGUCGUACCGUCGGGAUUUCAAAAAGCUCCCCCAAGAGCUAGAAGAGCGCGUCCCUCACAACGACAGGUGGACCCAGGACGACCACCUCGAAUUGGGAAUUGCCAUGCCCGCACCACCGUUACGAUUUUAGAUUGGCUCAGGUGUUGCCGGGACAUUGCGAUCAGCUGCAACACGCCCCCCCCCCCCCAACCCCUCCUUUCAAAAAAUCGAACAACGAGAAUUGCGAAU
rnacentral:lncRNA from 1 species